rnacentral:rRNA from 1 species
UUGAACGCUGGCGGAAUGCUUUACACAUGCAAGUCGAGCGGCAGCGCGGGGGCAACCCUGGCGGCGAGCGGCGAACGGGUGAGUAAUGUAUCGGAACGUACCCUGUCGUGGGGGAUAACACAGCGAAAGCUGUGCUAAUACCGCAUACGACCUGAGGGUGAAAGCGGGGGAUCGCAAGACCUCGCGCGAUAGGAGCGGCCGAUAUCGGAUUAGCUAGUUGGUGAGGUAAAGGCUCACCAAGGCGACGAUCCGUAGCGGGUCUGAGAGGACGACCCGCCACACUGGAACUGAGACACGGUCCAGACUCCUACGGGAGGCAGCAGUGGGGAAUUUUGGACAAUGGGGGCAACCCUGAUCCAGCCAUUCCGCGUGAGUGAAGAAGGCCUUCGGGUUGUAAAGCUCUUUCAGCAGGAACGAAACGGUGUCUCCUAAUACGGGGCGCUAAUGACGGUACCUGAAUAAGAAGCACCGGCUAACUACGU